AUUGAACGCUGGCGGCAUGCCUUACACAUGCAAGUCGAACGGCAGCACGGACUUCGGUCUGGUGGCGAGUGGCGAACGGGUGAGUAAUACAUCGGAACGUGCCCAGUCGUGGGGGAUAACGUAGCGAAAGCUACGCUAAUACCGCAUCCGAUCUAAGGACGAAAGCGGGGGAUCGCAAGACCCCGCGCGAUUGGAGCGGCCGGUGGCAGAUUAGGUAGUUGGUAGGGUAAAGGCCUACCAAGCCGACGAUCUGUAGCUGGUCUGAGAGGAUGAUCAGCCACACUGGGACUGAGACACGGCCCAGACUCCUACGGGAGGCAGCAGUGGGGAAUUUUGGACAAUGGGUGCAAGCCUGAUCCAGCCAUUCCGCGUGCAGGAUGAAGGCCUUCGGGUUGUAAACUGCUUUUGUACAGAACGAAAAGGCUCUGGUUAAUACCCGGGGCUCAUGACGGUACUGUAGGAAUAAGCACCGGCUAACUACGUGCCAGCAGCCGCCGUAA
rnacentral:rRNA from 1 species